rnacentral:rRNA from 1 species
CAAGAGCGUAUGUAAAAGUUGUUGCAGUUAAAAAGCUCGUAGUUGAACCUUGGGUUUGGUUGGCCGGUCCGCUUCUUUGCGAGUACUGGAUUCAACCGAGCCUUUCCUUCUGGCUAACCAGUCGUUUCGGCGGCUGGCGAACCAGGAUUUUUACUUUGAGAAAAUUAGAGUGUUCAAAGCAGGCAUUAGCUUGAAUAUAUUAGCAUGGAAUAAUAGAAUAGGACGUUAUGGUUCUAUUUUGUUGGUUUCUAGGACCAUCGUAAUGAUUAAUAGGGACGGUCGGGGGCAUCAGUAUUCAGUUGUCAGAGGUGAAAUUCUUGGAUUUACUGAAGACUAACUACUGCGAAAGCAUUUGCCAAGGACGUUUUCAUUAA